rnacentral:lncRNA from 1 species
UUCUGUCAGAGGCAGCUGUCACUGUGUCUUCAGUUCAGAGGCAGCUCAUUUCAGAAGGGAGAUACACUGCACUCUCUCAUGGAGUUUUUGUUUUCCCUUAAUCUCAAAAAGCCAUUCUGACUAGAAGUUAUAUGAGUGUUCUGUGUUUGAAAAGGCGGCAUUGUUGGUAGUGGUGCCAAAGAGGAUUGGGUGUGGAUGUAUGAGCUGAGGAUGUAUGAAUUUUUGAGGUCAGACAGCAGGAAAUGGUGAUAUUCUUGGGGAAAAUAAAGAGGAAGACAGUGUGGGAAGUGAGGCAGGAGAGUGGAGGCAGCAGGGGAGAAUGGUGAAAUGCACAGUGGUUAGAUGUGAAUGAUGCCCAGAAGAGGAAGGUUGUAAGGCACUUACCCAAGCACCCUGCAGGCAGCCACCUCUCCAUGAGUCCAGGAUGUCAAGAUAAUUCACUGCUAAAAAGGGAUGAACAAAACCAUGAACUUCAUACUUCUCCUCUGAAUAGGAAUUUCUCAGGAUAUAACCAAAAGAAACUUCAGGAGGAAAAUACUAAAUUAAAGCAUGAACUAGAAGAUUUAAGAAGUCCGUAUGAACAGCUUAUAGAAGAAGGGAAGAGUGAAUGUUUUGAUGACAGACGUGUCAGUCUUUUGAAGGCACAAGUAAUGCAGCUGGAGAGGCAGGUGGUCCUACUUACAGAAGGAUUAAGUUCUCAAGCAGUCCUUAUGCUGGAGUUAAAGAAUUUUUUAGAGUCUCUGACUGAGAAACUCUGGUAAGGAAACAGAGAAAACUUUUGUAUGUUUUGCCAUUUUCUUUGAUGAAAUUUGCCCUAAUGCUGAGGUCCUAUACCAGGCCCUGGGUGGACACUGUAAGUCCAAUGUUAAGGACUUUAAAUAUGGCAUAGGGGCUUGUUCGGGCCCUCUAUGCAGGUGUAAAUGUCACCUUUUACUUUUACUAAUAUGUGUGCCAUGGCUUUAUUCUGAGUGGAUUUAUGCCAUAGGUAAAUUAGAAUAGUGGACAUUAUCUGUCUGAAUUUUGAAGAUGAAACUUUAUUUUCCAUAGCAUUUGCUAUCCCCAUUUGCUUUUUAUCCUACAAGAAUUUGUUAUAGAAAAAAAUAGAAUGGUCUUGGGCCCAAAACAGAGUCCUUUGGGAUCUCACUUGAUUUGUCUUCUGAACUUGAUAACUAAUCAGUUGCACUUAUUUAAAAAAAUAUUUUCUGUAUAGUCAGUUGCAUAUUCAUCUUAUGCUCAAUCUGCAUUUAUCUAACUAUGGGGAGGGGCUGUGGAACAAUAUUCAAUGCCUUACUCAAGUCGAAGUAAGUUGACUUACUGAGUCAAAUUUUUAGAAUGUGGUCUCUCCUUUACUACAUGCAGCUUUUU